rnacentral:ncRNA from 1 species
UGAGCCUUGAAGCCACCCGGGCUGCCCGGAUCUGUAACUUUAGGAUAAGUAUUCGCUCUAGGGGCUGGGUCGGUCGGGCUCGGGUCAGAAGCAGUGGUGGGCGCGCUCAGCCGCUGGACAAGGCGCCGCAGGCCCCUGCACGCCUGCCCCCGCCCAGGCCCACCACCUCCGCCCUCCUCAUCCCUACCCAGCGCGGCUCCACCCACUCUCCUCUACCCCCUUCCCCUCCCGAGGUGGGGUGACAGGGGAGGGGGAUGGGGGGGUGGGCGCGUUGGUGCGGGAGGUCCACCAAAGAAAGGGCCUGCGGCCCAAGGUCCCGGGCACCCAGGGGGCCGGCAAGGGCGGCGACUGUAGAGGUGAGCCAGGCCCUUACCGUGGAUCGCCCCAGCUGCAGUGGGCAUCAUGGCUGCACCUGGGGAGCCCGGCGGGACCCAGCGCACCCCGCCGCGCGCUCAGGGAGGUGUCGAGCUGCAGGAGGCAAGGAUUCUGUCGUCCCAGUCUUCCCCCGCCCUCGCUCUUGUCGUCGUUUAAUUGAAACAAAGCAUCGUGGGGCAGCCCUGGUGGCUUAGCGCCUGCCUUCAACCCAAGGCGUGAUCCUGGAGACCCGGGAUCGAGUCUCACGUCGGGAUCCCGGCAAGGAGCCUGCUUCUCCCUCUGCCUGUGUCUUUGCCUCUCUCUCUCUCUCUCUUCAUGGAUAAAUAAAAUCUUUAAAAAAAAACAACAACAAAGCAUCGUGAAGGCCUGCAGCAGGUGUUGACGCCAUGCGAUUUCUGCCUAGUACUCUGAAUGUCAAAGUGAAUAAAUUCAAUGAAGCAUGGGGACACGGCCGGAGUAACUUAUGACUAUCUUAAGGUAGCGAAACGCUCAUCAUCUAAUUAGUGACUCGCAGGAAUGAAUCCAGGAAUGGAUGAGCGAGAUUCUCACUGUCCUACCUACUAUCCAGUGAAACCACAGCCAAGGGAAAGGGCUUGGCAUAAUCAGCGGGGAAAGAAGACCCUUUUGAUCUUGACUCUAGGCUGGCACGGUGAAGACUUAAGAGGUGUAGAAUAAGUGGGAGGCCCUGGCGCCCUUGGGGCGAGGGGGCGGGGUGAUGUCUGCCAGCUUUGUGGGACGCUGGUGAAAUACCACUAUUCUUAUCAUUUUUUCACUGAUCCCGUGAGGUAGGAGGGCGAGCCCUUGCUUCUUGUGCCAAGUGCCUGGUGGCGCCAGCUGUGAAAGACCUGCUCUGGGGACAGUGCCAGGUGGGGAGUUUGGGGCGGUACACCUGUCAAAUGCUAACUGCAGGUGUCCUAAGGUGAGCUCAGGGAGGACAGAAACCUCCAGUGGAGCAAAAGGGGAACAGCUCACUUGAUCUUGAUUUUCAGUAUGAAUAGAGACUGUGAAAGCGGGGUCUCAGGAUCCUUUGAACCUUUUGGGUUUUAAGCAGGAGGUGUCAGAAAAGUUACCACAGGGAUAACUGGCUUGUGGCAGCCAAGCGUUCAUAGCGACAUCGCCUUUUGAUCCUUCGAUGUCGGCUCUUCCUAUCAUUGUGAAGCAGGAUUCACCAACCACUGCAUUGUUCAGCUACUAAUAGGGAACAAUUAGACCUAAUUGGGUUUAGACCAUCGUGAGACAGGUUAGUUUAACCCUACUAAUGAUGUGUUGUUGCUAUGGGAACCCUGCUCAGUACAAGAGGAACCGCAGGUCCAGGCUUUUCAUGUAUUUGCUUGGCUGAGGAGCCAAGGGGGUGAAGCUACCAUCUGUGGGAUUAUGACUGAAUGCCUCUAAGUCAGAAUCCCGCCCAGUCAGAACCGUCAGGCAGCACCCCUGAGCCCAGGUUGGCCUUGGAUAGCUGAUCCCCCACUGUCCCCGCAAGCGGCCGGGCACCCCACAUAGCAGGGUGUGGUGUGCCCCACUGCACAUCGGGGCAGGGGUCCUGUGCAGAGAGACCCUCCUCCAGGGAAACAGGGCACAGCCAGAAAGGGGGCCAUCCCCUCGCUCCUCACGCAAUGCACGUUGGUGGGGAACCUGAUGCUAAUCCAUUCGUAGAUGACCUACUUCUUGGUUGGAUUUUCAUAUGUAGCAGAGCAGCUCCCUCACUGCAAUCUAUUGAAAGUCAGCCCUAGAACACAAGUGUU